rnacentral:rRNA from 1 species
UACAGAGGGUGCAAGCGUUGUUCGGAAUUAUUGGGCGUAAAGGGCGCGUAGGCGGUGCGGUAAGUCUGUAGUGAAAUCUCUGGGCUCAACUCAGAGUCUGCUGCAGAAACUGCCGUGCUUGAGUGUGGGAGAGGGGACUGGAAUACUUGGUGUAGCAGUGAAAUGCGUAGAUAUCAAGUGGAACACCAGUGGCGAAGGCGAGUCCCUGGACAACUCCUGACACUGAGGCACGAAAGCUAGGGGAGCAAACAGG